UCGCCGCAGUCGGCACAAAGCGAGGAUGAAGCUCUACGAACCACCGCUGUAGAGUCAUCGACUUGUGAGCACCAGAAGGGUGGUAGAACACAACAAAGGUUGCUGAUCCGAAGACUAUGGCUGCAGAGGCCCUCUUGCUUGAAGCCCAUCCACCGCAGCAUCACAUGUGACAAGCAUGCUGGCGAAACUAUUGCGAAUGUUGUCACCU